AUCCAACUGACGAGUCCCAAAUCGGAUGAACGCGUGUCCUGGAU
rfam:Schistosoma rodhaini strain Burundi genome assembly, scaffold: SROB_scaffold0002521